CCGAUGGCGUGUUGCAGGCGCUCUCGUAGUAAUGCGUUGGCGCCCACGCCGCCGGCCACCACGAGUGCCGUGGGCGCCAACGCAUGCGUGCGACACCAUUUAAAUGCGUGCGCCGUGCGCGACACGAGUUGGUCGACAAUCUCUGCCUGCACCGCUGCGGCGAUAGCACUGGCCUCAUCGGCGGGCCUCUCGCGCGCCAAUGCCGCCGCGCGGUCGCGCAGGCCGGCAAAGGAAAAGUCGCAGCCGUUGGGCCAUGCGUCGUCGCAGAUCACAGCGUUGGUGACGUGAGCAUUCUUUGCGGCCAGUUCGAUGGCCCUGCCGCCAGAACCCGCCGCGUCGAGGUCGAGCGCGAGGGCGCGCGCCACGGCGUCCAACGCCUGGCCCGGCGCGCAGUCGAGCGUCUGUCCGAGCCGCCUGUAGUCGCCCAAAUCAUAGGCCAACACCAACUGGCACGACCCGCCCGAGGCCAGCAGCACCAAAAAGGGAAAACAAAGUUGGCGAGCGCACACGCCUGCCACAAGGGCGUGGCCUUCCAAGUGGUGGGUGGGCACCAGCGGCUUGUUGUGCAGCGCCGCGAGUCGCACGGCCUCGUCCACGCCGGCCAUGAGACCGCCCAUCAUGCCGGGACCCACUGUCACCGCGAUGCUGUCUAUGGCGUCCCAGUCUGCGCCCGAGGCCGCGACCACGCGGGCCACGAGCGGUCCCACGGCCUCGCGGUGGACGGCCGCAGCGUGCUCCUUGUCAAUGUCGGCUUGGUGAGCGUGGUGGCCCCACGACGUGGCCACCUCAUGCGCCAGGACGGCCGGAGGCGCACCGCCUCCGACCUGGAGCACGGCGACGCCCGUGUCGUCGCAACUCGACUCGAUGCCGAGCACAGUGACGCGGCGCUCAAACUGGACGCCCGUGGCGCACAUCCCCGAGGACACGGAAGCGGUGCCCAUCGAGCCUGCGCCAUCCGGCAUACACUUGCUUUGCAAUUGCCUGCAAUUCGACGACGAUGACAUCUGGUUUUUCUUCUCUAUCCUUUUAUUGUGCCUUUUUUCCUUGGUAUUCCUCCUCGUAGGGGUGUUGUUCCGGUUACGGCGGUCGAUUAUUCAAUGAAGGAGAUCUUUUUUUAGCGCGC
rnacentral:lncRNA from 1 species